rnacentral:sRNA from 1 species
UCCAAGAAUCUCACGGACUUUAUACUGC